GUGCUGUAUUAGAUUACAGUGAAGCACUUGGGAAACAACAAUUUGUCAAUAGGAAUGAAAUUGUUUAUAUUCCAUUUCAAAACCUCUUAUUUUAAUCUCUUUUAUAUGCAUUGUUCUCUGAUGUCCUCAGAUUCCCCAGGGUUUUCAUCUGGUGGUUCUUGAAGUGUGUCAAAUGGACAUUGGUGUGAGUCACAGAGGAACUGCUGAAAGAAGUUGAACAUUUCUAUAGACAAAGUUGAUACGUUCCUCUUCCAUUCCUGAAGACUGAAGAGACAAAAGAAGACAUGACAAUGUUUCUGAUUUGAUCAGAAGAGGAAAGACGC
ensembl:lncRNA